AAUCAACAGAUAGGUUCCUGGUUUCCUCAGGCAGCUAAUUGUGCCACACUUGGAUUCCAUUAUGGCAAAUUAGAUGUUUGCAGAAGAGAAGAAUGAUAGUGGUAUAUUUUACCCACUAUGAUGCUCAGUGAUAAAUAUGUAAUGCACGGAGCAUUAUGUGGGUAAAAUUUCGAUUUGUCACUUUUGCACAGGUGUACACACCUUGCCAUUCAUCACACCAACUGGGUGAACAGAAAGAUUACUUUCUGUGUCCUUCAGGUGCAGCUCCUGAAGUACACAGAGGCUACCAUUAUGUUGAAGUAUAUAAUUUCAUUAGAAAAGUAUGGAAUAUGUUAUGGUAACCCACAAUAAUGCCCAUUAAUUAAAAUAAACUUCUAAAAUUAAAAUGUUUUAUUCUUAGGAUUUAAGAUUAUCCUAUAUUAGGUAUUUUAUACAUAUUAUCAUGUUAAAAUAUAACCAUCUUAAAGUUAUAUCUUAACAUCUGCUAUGAUAAAUAUGAUAACCAUAGGACUUACAGUCCUAAUUAAUUCACUUUGUUUUGUAUUUAAGAGUUUGAAGAUGGUGAUCUGUCAGCAUGGAUCAGUAGGGAAAGGUUUCAGAAUUAUCUUACUAUGGAUGGCUUCCUCUUAUAUGAACUUGGAGACACAGGAUGAAGACUCCCUUGCUGCUAAAUGCUGAGCCAGGUGUCAACAAGAAGGGUACAGCACACUCUUAUGUCACCAAGUUUCCCAGAGAUGCCAGCCUAACUAAGCACCAACAGCUCCUGAGGGCGGGAUGGAGGACAGAGAUAAAUAGGACAAACCUGGGAGAAGAUUGUCAUAAUGGAGGUCCUGAGCUCUCAGUUCUGGAGUGGUUUCUCAACUGGAAAUGCAGAGAAACACACACACACACACACACACACACACACACACACACACACUCAUGUAGAGAAAUACAGAGAACUUACUUUAAACAAAAAGGCAAUAUCAUUAUUCUGAGAAAUUAAUUUCAUUACCUAAUGCAAUCAGUCCAAGAAACUUAAUAGCUAUAAUUAAGAACUCAAUAUCACAGAUGAACCAAGUCCUUAAUGUGUUAUCUGCCCUACUAAAAGUUACACAGCAUUUUACUAGUAAAACCAUCACCAAAAGUAAGAUGAUCUUGGUUUAGAAUCACAGGUGUUAAUCUUUUAACACAAGGUUAUUCUUGUCAAAGUCCACAUAGGAUCAGUGGGUGGACAGGUUCCUCAGCCCAAGCCUUCUGAAUGGACAAUGCCAGAGCUCUAGCCCU
rnacentral:lncRNA from 1 species